rnacentral:rRNA from 1 species
GACGAACGCUGGCGGCGUGCCUAAUACAUGCAAGUUGAGCGCUGAAGGUUGGUACUUGUACCUACUGGAUGAGCAGCGAACGGGUGAGUAACGCGUGGGGAAUCUGCCUUUGAGCGGGGGACAACAUUUGGAAACGAAUGCUAAUACCGCAUAAAAACUUUAAACACAAGUUUUAAGUUUGAAAGAUGCAAUUGCAUCACUCAAAGAUGAUCCCGCGUUGUAUUAGUUAGUUGGUGAGGUAAAGGCUCACCAAGGCGAUGAUACAUAGCCGACCUGAGAGGGUGAUCGGCCACAUUGGGACUGAGACACGGCCCAAACUCCUACGGGAGGCAGCAGUAGGGAAUCUUCGGCAAUGGACGAAAGUCUGACCGAGCAACGCCGCGGGAGUGAAGAAGGUUUUCGGAUCGUAAAACUCUGUUGGUAGAGAAGAACGCUGGUGAGAGUGGAAAGCUCAUCAAGUGACGGUAACUACCCAGAAAGGGACGGCUAACUACGUG